rnacentral:lncRNA from 1 species
GCCGGUUACUUUCAUCUUUUUGUGAAUUUCUGGAGCUGGAGCCCUGGAGCUGGCUGGCUUGCUGGCCGAAAUGAUUAAAAACCGUUUGGCGAUGUUAAACACCAAACAAAUAAACAACAUCUGACUUUGGAGCACGCUUGGCGGCCUUCCCCGGCAUAGUUGUUGCCCGCUUGGUUCAGCAGGUCGAAGUACAGUCGCCGCUUCCAAGUGCCGCCUCUGUGCAUCUCGUUUGGGGGUUGUGAUUGGGGUACGGGGCACACGAGUAGUAGUAUCCUUCACGUUCAACC